CUCCAUUACAGCAAUAGCCUGGGCAAAGGUCCUUCUUGAGCCACAGACCUUUUUUAAAGCCACCAUAACUCCUUAGAUCACAGAGUACUUAGAAUUGGAACCUGGGACCUUGUGCAUGCUGGGCGAGUGAUUUGUCACUGACCUACUUUCCUAGCAAAAAUAAUGAUUGACGAAUCUUCUCAACUACCCAGAGAUAGCAGCGAAUUCAGUAUCGCAGGUAGUCAUGCUAAGUUUUUCUUUCAGCAUGGCAGGCUUCUUGUUUUGAUUGUGUUAGGCAGUAGAGAAGUCCCCGAGUCAGUGUGUGCAAUGUUAACAUGAGGAAAUUAGCAGAGCAGCUUCCCCAUGUGGGCCAGACUCAAGAGGGGGUGGUAAAGCUUUCCUCCCAGGUUCCUGUGGGAGAAAGAGACCACUGAGCUCAAAACUAGAAACUGCAGCUUCCUGCUCCCUGAUAUUUCCAGCCUGAAACUGCUCAUGUACAGAGGCCUCCACCCAAGAUCUCCUUCCCCUCCCCCUGUGCUGUACCUAGCCAGCAUGCUGAGGUUCAGGCGGCGGCUGUGGUAUUAGGUGCCCUCCAUCAGAGGCAGCAGGCUCCCACCAAGACCCAGUUUUCCUGUAUAUAUUUGUAUCUGUCUUUUCUUCUUUCCCUCACCACCCCGAGAGUCAGUGUUCCAGAACCCGAAUCCAGCCACAGCAGUUGUGUUUUCGGUGUUGAGAGGGAUUCACUUCUGUGUCUGGACAUCAACACCUGUCAUCAGGAAUAUUUCCAAGUUGUGUAUGGUGGCAAAUGCAUGUUAGUUCCAGCUAUUCCGGGCUGUACUUUGUUAUAUUCAAGAUAGUUUCACCGUGUAGCCCUGGCUGUCCUGGAACUCACUGUGUACGUAGCUCAAACAAGAUUUCUGCCUGCCUAUGCCUCGUGAAUGCUGGGGUUAAAGGUGUUUGCCACCAUCACCUGGACAAAAUAAACAUAAUUUUAAAAGUCUAGGGAUAUGCUGGGUGUGGCAGUGGUGCACACCCUUAAUCGUAGCACUUAGUAGGCAGAGGCAGAUAUCUAUCUAAGCUUGAGGCCAGCCCGCUCUACAGAGCAAGUUCCAGGAUAGCCAGGGCUGCAUAGAGAAACCCUGUUUGGAAAAACCAAAUAACUAAAUAAAUAAACAAGCAAACAAAUAGUUUAGGAUGUAGUCCAACUAUAGAGUACUUGCCCAGUAUGCGUAAGACCCUAUGCUUAACCCCUAGUUCUGCAAAGAAACAAGGCUUUCUAUAGCUAAUAUACAGCCUUUAAUUUUUUUUAAAUUUUUUUACUUUGUUAAUGUUAAUGUUAAGUCUCAUUGUCCUCAGUGGUUGAGGCCACCACUUUGUUCUUCCAGGAUCACAGCUGUCCUGGCAGCUGUGCUGGAACAGGACAGACUUGAUUGGUGAGCAGUAGAUGUCUUUGCUUUCCCACCUGUGCAGUCCUUAGUCAUUUUUAAGUGGAAGCCUUGCUGUGAGUCCUAGCUGGCCAGGAUUUCCUGAGUCUGAGCAAUUCUUCUGACUCAGCUCUCCCAAUAGCUAGCUAGGAAUAAAGAUGUGCAGGCCACUUGUGCAUGCCCAGCUUCUUAAUCAGUUUACACUCAUCUCGAGCUCAGUCUCAUGAUGGUUGGCCACAUCUGGGAUGGCUUUUUUGUGCUUAGGGAUCAUUAUGGUCCCCCAAACAACUGAUUAAGUCAAGAAGGAGAGGAAAUUAUGAAACAGAGAGAUGUGGUAAGCAUGUGAUGUAUGGGACUGUAGCUGGUGGCACACACAGAGACCUGGUGUGUGUGUGUGUGUGUGUGUGUGUGUGUGUGUGUGUGUGUGUGUGUGUGUGUGUGUGUGUGUACUGUGGUUGAUGUGGAGGUCAGAGGACAAUUUAUAGCAAUUAGUUUUCUUCCACCACAUGGGCUCUGGGGAUCAGUCUUGGGGGGAUGAGCCUAACCAGCUGAAACAUCUUGCCAGCCCACCUGUUUUGAAUAAUAAAGAUUUCAUUCAGAUCUGGUGCUCUGAGAUGGAUUGAAGCCAGUCCUUAAAGCUGACUGCUGGAAGUGGAGGCUGCUGGAAUAGGAGACCAAACCAUAACCAUGCAGAGCAAAGGAAAUUCUUUGUAUUUACCAGCUUUGGAGGGUAGUAUUCUCUGAGUUUAGUGGAGUUAGGAUCUCUGAGUUUAGCAGAUCAGUGAAGGAAGUACAGAUGGUCUAUAAGCCACUAAUUUAGGGAGCUAACCUAUCAUCCCACCCUACCUGGAGGUUAUUAUACAUUGGAGUUUAGCAUUUUAAUGCAGGUACUAGACAGGCUAUAUAGGACAGCUUCUGUGAUCUAAGACUGACCAAGCUAGUUAAACUUCCUUUCAUAAGUGGAAGCAUUUUUCUUUCCUUUUCUUUUCUUUUCUUUCUUUCUUUUUUUUUUUAAAGAUUUAUUUAUUUAUUGUAUGUAUGUGAGUACACUGUCACACUGCCCUCAGACAGACCAGAAGAGGGCAUCAGAG
ensembl:lncRNA